rnacentral:misc_RNA from 1 species
AACCUUAUGGACCUGCGGGCGUAUACCUGCGGAGGGAUCAUUACAAGUGACCCCGGUCUAACCACCGGGAUGUUCAUAACCCUUUGUUGUCCGACUCUGUUGCCUCCGGGGCGACCCUGCCUUCGGGCGGGGGCUCCGGGUGGACACUUCAAACUCUUGCGUAACUUUGCAGUCUGAGUAAACUUAAUUAAUAAAUUAAAACUUUCAGCAAUGGAUCU